CUGAUGGCGACCGGCGCACGGGUGAGUAACACGUAUCCAACCUGCCGAUAACUCGGGGAUAGCCUUUCGAAAGAAAGAUUAAUACCCGAUGGCAUAAUAGAACCGCAUGGUUUGAUUAUUAAAGAAUUUCGGUUAUCGAUGGGGAUGCGUUCCAUUAGGCAGUUGGUGGGGUAACGGCCCACCAAACCUUCGAUGGAUAGGGGUUCUGAGAGGAAGGUCCCCCACAUUGGAACUGAGACACGGUCCAA
rnacentral:rRNA from 1 species